UGAAUUACUCUCAGGCUCCUGUUGAUGGUGCACUGCUUGAACCAGCCAGAACUUUGCAGGACUCUUACCCUGAUGAUAGCAUCAAACAGGAUGCCAGCCUACAGGUGACAGGCUCUCAGGCUCUUGUUGAUGGUGCGCUGCUUGAACCAGCCAGAACUUUGCAGGACUCUUACCCUGAUGAUAGCAUCAAA